UGGGGAAUAUUGCACAAUGGGGGAAACCCUGAUGCAGCGACGCCGCGUGAGCGAAGAAGUAUUUCGGUAUGUAAAGCUCUAUCAGCAGGGAAGAAGAAAUGACGGUACCUGACUAAGAAGCACCGGCUAAAUACGUGCCAGCAGCCGCGGUAAUACGUAUGGUGCAAGCGUUAUCCGGAUUUACUGGGUGUAAAGGGAGCGCAGGCGGUACGGCAAGUCAGAUGUGAAAGCCCGGGGCUCAACCCCGGUACUGCAUUGGAAACUGCCGGACUAGAGUGUCGGAGGGGUAAGUGGAAUUCCUAGUGUAGCGGUGAAAUGCGUAGAUAUUAGGAGGAACACCAGUGGCGAAGGCGGCUUACUGGACGAUGACUGACGCUGAGGCUCGAAAGCGUGGGGAGCAAACAGG
rnacentral:rRNA from 1 species